rnacentral:rRNA from 1 species
GAUGAACGCUGGCGGCGUGCCUAAUACAUGCAAGUCGAGCGAACGGACGAGAAGCUUGCUUCUCUGAUGUUAGCGGCGGACGGGUGAGUAACACGUGGAUAACCUACCUAUAAGACUGGGAUAACUUCGGGAAACCGGAGCUAAUACCGGAUGAUAUUUUGAACCGCAUGGUUCAAAAGUGAAAGACGGUCUUGCUGUCACUUAUAGAUGGAUCCGCGCUGCAUUAGCUAGUUGGUAAGGUAACGGCUUACCAAGGCAACGAUGCAUAGCCGACCUGAGAGGGUGAUCGACCACACUGGAACUGAGACACGGUCCAGACUCCUACGGGAGGCAGCAGUAGGGAAUCUUCCGCAAUGGGCGAAAGCCUGACGGAGCAACGCCGCGUGAGUGAUGAAGGUCUUCGGAUCGUAAAACUCUGUUAUUAGGGAAGAACAGAUGUGUAAGUAACUGUGCACAUCUUGACGGUACCUAAUCAGAAAGCCACGGCUAACUACGUG